rnacentral:rRNA from 1 species
CCUACGGGAGGCAGCAGUGGGGAAUAUUGGUCAAUGGGCGCAAGCCUGACCCAGCAACGCCGCGUGCAGGAAGAAGGCUUUCGGGUUGUAAACUUCUUUUCUGAGGGACGAAGACAGUGACGGUACCUCCGGAAUAAGCCACGGCUAACUACGUGCCAGCAGCCGCGGUAAUACGUAGGUGGCAAUCGUUGUUCGGAAUGACUGGGCGUAAAGGGUGUGUAGGUGGUUUGAUAAGUUAGGUGUGUAAUACCCAGGGCUUAACUCGGGUGCUGCAGCGCAAACUGUUGGACGUGAGUGCUGGGGAGGAUAGUGGAAUUCCUGGUGUAGCGGUGGAAUGCGUAGAUAUUAGGAAGAACAUC